GGUUUAUAUUCUCAGGGCAGUGCCAGUGAUUCCAUAGAGAGGUUCCACUUUGCAUUAUCAGCCCAUGAUGCUUCAGUGCUCUCUGUGUAUUUAUAGUCCUGUGAGUUUAACACUUCAUGACUGAGAGCUGCUGCUCCACAAACUUCACCCACAGCAUCCAUGACCCUGAUCACCAUCUUCAUCUGGACUCUGAUCUUCUGGACUCAAGAGUCCAGAGGUCAGGCCACCAUCGCUCAGACUCCUGCAGUUAAAUCUGCUCUUCCAGGAGAAACAGUCUCCAUCAGCUGUAAUGCUAAUGUUGCUGUCCACAACGACUGUAGCAGCAGAUAUGACUGUGUAUCCUGGUAUCUGCAGAAACCUGGAGAAGUUCCUAAACUCCUGAUUAAACUCGCAAACCAGUUACACUCAGGUAUUCCAGCUCGUUUCAGUGGCAGUGGAUCCAAGACUGACUUCACUCUGACCAUCAGUGGAGUCCAAACUGAAGAUACAGGAGAUUAUUACUGUCUGAUGGAUCAUUACAACACUUAUAAGCUUCAAUCUCUCACACAGUGAUAUUCAGUCGUACAAAACCCCCCUGCAGGUGCUGAGGGGGAGGAUGUGAAACAGC